GCUAUAGGCUCUUCCUAAUCUGAACAGUCAUAAUAAGUGUUAUCACACACACAGAUUCAAAAUACUCUGUGUCGGCAGGAGGACUUAAUAACUGCAUUCCUGGAGUCACCAGAAUCCAAUAAUCUUGGUCCAAGAAAGUUCACAAAACAGCUACGUAUUUCAGCACAGCAGGCAUAAUCAGGCAAGAAAAAUGUUGCAGAGGAACAGUUUCUCCUCGCCUCUAUCCCUACAAGACAAUCAGUUGCAGUAACUCUAGCACAUACAGUCAACUUCAGCACUAGGCAAACGAAACAGUGCUCUCYAGCCUUGUAUCCUGAAAACCGGAAAACGUGGAGGAGGAUCAGUGGUAGAUACAGCAUCUGGGAAUCAAAGAGAAGCUAAUGGAAAGCCAGUACUGUAUGAGGGAGUUCAUGCGUCAGUCUGCAUAUACGAGAGAAGAGAAAGGGAGAGAGCAGUCCAUUUGAAAAAUAAAGAAUUCAGAGAUAUCGCCAUUACUCAGAUACAUCUGCCAUUUUAAUUCGGGACUUCAGCGCUUGCUGCGAGCUUUGGUUUUUUCACUACAACCAAAGCUGAAUUAACCACUAUCUUUUCUCUUCACAGCGUCUGAAGAGCCUGAGCUAUUUUGGGAUUUGUCUGUACUACACUGAAAAUGACACCUGUUACACACAGACACAAACGAGAAGAAUUGCAAGCUCCUAAUUCCUCAGAUAUGAUUCUUCAAAAAAGGAAAAAAAAAAAAAWCACAUGAGUCAUGCAUCUGGGAGAGCAAGGUUGGCCCAGUGCAAUAGAGCAGGCGCUGAAGUGGAAGCCUGCAGGUGAAAACCUGGCCAUCGCUUUGAAAAGCUGCAGUCCUGGAAUUUAUCAUAUCAAGUCUUAGAAACUCCCAGCUGGAAGAGCUAAGAUCUUUUCCAAAGAGAUGACAUCAUAUUAAUAUGCAAGCUGCUUCAAAGGCGAGGCUGAAGCUGGGUUCAAGGUAUUUUGCAUCCUCAAAUGACGGCUCUGUUUAUUCUCCUUGCUAUCUUGCAGCGUUCCUAGCCAGCGCAGUAUAGGAAAUGCUGCCAGGAAGUUGG
rnacentral:lncRNA from 1 species